rnacentral:lncRNA from 1 species
CCUGUGUGCCUGCAUGCAGCCUGUGUGCAAUCUGUGUGCAUCCUGUGUGCUGGAGCAGCGGCUGGUGAUUAGAAGUCCCGGCUAUUUUCUGGGGUCAACAGCAGAUCCAAGAUCAUCUCAGCAACUCUCUGCCUGAAAACAAGCUCUGGGAGGGCACCGCCCAGGUCACCUCCGGCUUCUGGAGCAAUGGUGCUGGAAGGGCUCAACCCCCGGACCCAGGCUUCGGGAUCCAUUAAAACGUGAAGUCACCUGCGCCCUGAGCAGGCGCUGUUGCAGGAGAGCGCCUUGGCCAUGGCCCCCAGCGGACACCCCGCCAGGCUCUUCCAGCUCCGCUCAUGAGGGGAAAGUUCAAAGCCAAACAGAGUUGUUUCCUCUGCUGCCCGCGUGCACUCUCUGGGGACCUAAUCACAGCGCCCCUGCCCCAAGCAUCUACCAUCACUCCGCAAACACUCUUUNNNNNNNNNNNNNNNNNNNNNNNNNNNGGCUCCAGCUUUCUACCUGCUCCACAGUCUGAAUCUUGGCAAUUUGGGGUUUGCAACGAAGGUGCUGACAGGUGCUUACCACACCUGAGUCGUCCGUCAGGCAGCUGCUCAAGUCACCUUGGGGCUUCUGCCCAUCGCUGCAGCCAUCCUGUCCCCUUGAUGCUUUGUGGUCAUUGUCAUGGGGGCCAAAUGCAGCGCCGAGGGGACUGCUGUGCAAGUCAGGACUGGUCAGUAUGGGGCAUCGACCUGGAUGCUUGGGUUCAGGAGCUUGGAGCCUUUGCUACCACUGGGGCCACCUCGCAGGGAACACAGGGCUGUCAGUCAACGUGUGAGCAGAGCUGGCACCUGGCCUUAAACCCAGUCUCGGUCUCAGACCCAGGGCUAAGAAAGGCAGACACUUGGUUGGUUCAGCUGAGUCUCUGGGAAAAAACGGUCCCCACAGCUGCACAGAAUUAUAAAAUAAAUGCUUUAAAUUUUUCAGAUAUAAAAUUUAAAUUGCCUUCCUGCCAUGAGUCAAGAUUAAGGAUUGAAUAUUGCUAA